UUGGUUGCGGAUCUUCUGCUAUACUGGGAAUUGAUGCACUUGUGGACAAUCAAAGUUCCAUCUAUAGUCUGUCUGCUAUAUACAAAAGCUCCCUGUACCUUGGAGAUACAUUUCCUAGCACCUUUUCUGACAGAGAGCGCGGCCUGCAACCUUUCAUGUAAAGCUGCACCUUCCAACUUUUAAUGUGUUUAUGGUGUUGGACAGAAUGUAUGAUUUGGAGCAAGGCAUCAUGCAUCCAAACAUGUGGAUUGAUGGCAAGAGAAUCGAAUGAGGUGCUGAAGAUGAGAUGAUCCAUCAAGUGGACAAGGUUCCAAUUAGAUAUUGAACCUUGUUGAUGUUCAGUGUCAUAUAUGAGAUGAUUUCAACAAGAACAAUCCUCAAUGACUCGAAGAAAGAUUCUAAUAGACCUUCAAUGAAUGCUUCUACAGAAGCAAUUUGUGAGAAUUUUAGUAUACCAGUAGAAUGGG